rnacentral:rRNA from 1 species
GUUCUUUUAUUAGGGAAGAAAAGAUGGUGGAAAAACCAUUAUGACGGUACCUAAUGAAUAAGCCCCGCUAACUAUGUGCCAGCAGCCGCGGUAAUACAUAGGGGGCAAGCNGUUAUCCGGAAUUAUUGGGCGUAAAGGGUGCGUAGGCGGUUAAAUAAGUUUAUGGUCUAAGUGCAACGCUCAACGUUGUGAUGCUAUAAAAACUGUUUAGCUAGAGUUGGAUAGAGGCAAGUGGAAUUCCGUGUGUAGUGGUAAAAUGCGUAAAUAUACGGAGGAACACCAGAAGCGAAGGCGGCUUGCUGGGUCUUAACUGACGCUGAGGCACGAAAGCGUGGGGAGCAAACAGGAUUAGAUACCCUGGUAGUCCACGCCCUAAACGAUGAGUACUAAACGUUGGAUAAAACCAGUGUUGAAGUUAACACAUUAAGUACUCCGCCUGAGUAGUACGUACGCAAGUAUGAAACUUAAAGGAAUUGACGGGACUCCGCACAAGCGGUGGAUCAUGUUGUUUAAUUCGAAGGUACCCGAAAAACCUCACCAGGUCUUGACAUGCUUUUGCAAAGCUGUAGAAAUACAGUGGAGGGUAUCAGAAGCACAGGUGGUGCAUGGUUGUCGUCAGCUCGUGUCGUGAGAUGUUGGGUUAAGUCCCGCAACGAGCGCAACCCUUGUUGUUAAUUGCCAUCAUUAAGUUGGGGACUUUAUCAAGACUGCCAAUGAUAAAUUGGAGGAAGGUGGGGACGACGUCAAAUCAUCAUGCCCCU